rnacentral:rRNA from 1 species
GACGAACGCUGGCGGCGUGCUUAACACAUGCAAGUCGAACGAAGAGCGACGGAAGCUUGCUUCUAUCAAUCUUAGUGGCGAACGGGUGAGUAACGCGUAAUCAACCUGCCCUUCAGAGGGGGACAACAGUUGGAAACGACUGCUAAUACCGCAUACGAUCUAAUCUCGGCAUCGAGGAGGGAUGAAAGGUGGCCUCUACAUGUAAGCUAUCACUGAAGGAGGGGAUUGCGUCUGGUUAGCUAGUUGGAGGGGUAACGGCCCACCAAGGCGAUGAUCAGUAGCCGGUCUGAGAGGAUGAACGGCCACAUUGGGACUGAGACACGGCCCAGACUCCUACGGGAGGCAGCAGUGGGGAAUCUUCCGCAAUGGACGAAAGUCUGACGGAGCAACGCCGCGUGAGUGAUGACGGCCUUCGGGUUGUAAAGCUCUGUUAAUCGGGACGAAAGGCCUUCUUGCGAAUAGUGAGAAGGAUUGACGGUACCGGAAUAGAAAGCCACGGCUAACUACGUG